rnacentral:rRNA from 1 species
AACGCUAGCUACAGGCUUAACACAUGCAAGUCGAGGGGAAACGACAUCGAAAGCUUGCUUUUGAUGGGCGUCGACCGGCGCACGGGUGAGUAACGCGUAUCCAACCUGCCCACCACUUGGGGAUAACCUUGCGAAAGUAAGACUAAUACCCAAUGAUAUCUCUAGAAGACAUCUGAAAGAGAUUAAAGAUUUAUCGGUGAUGGAUGGGGAUGCGUCUGAUUAGCUUGUUGGCGGGGUAACGGCCCACCAAGGCGACGAUCAGUAGGGGUCCUGAGAGGAAGGUCCCCCACAUUGGAACUGAGACACGGUCCAAACUCCUACGGGAGGCAGCAGUGAGGAAUAUUGGUCAAUGGACGUAAGUCUGAACCAGCCAAGUAGCGUGCAGGAUGACGGCCCUAUGGGUUGUAAACUGCUUUUAUGCGGGGAUAAAGUGAGGGACGCGUCCCUUUUUGCAGGUACCGCAUGAAUAAGGACCGGCUAAUUCCGUGCCAGCAGCCGCGGUAAUACGGAAGGUCCGGGCGUUAUCCGGAUUUAUUGGGUUUAAAGGGAGCGUAGCCCGGCUUUUAAGCGUGUUGUGAAAUGCCGCGGCUCAACCGUGGCACUGCACCGCGAACUGGAGGCCUUGAGUGCGCGGGAGGUAGGCGGAAUUCGUGGUGUAGCGGUGAAAUGCUUAGAUAUCACGAAGAACUCCGAUUG